rnacentral:rRNA from 1 species
GACAGAGGGUGCAAACGUUGUUCGGAAUUACUGGGCGUAAAGCGCGUGUAGGCGGCUAAGUAAGUCGGGCGUGAAAUCCCACGGCUCAACCGUGGAAGUGCACUCGAAACUGCAUAGCUAGAGUCCUGGAGAGGAAGGUGGAAUGCUUGGUGUAGAGGUGAAAUUCGUAGAUAUCAAGCGGAAACACCGGGUGGCGAAGGCGGCCUUCUGGACAGUGACGUGACGCUGAGACGCGAAAGCGUGGGGAGCAAACAGGG